GGAGGAGUCGCAUAGCGGCCAAUUGCACGGGCUUGGAAAGCCCGAGUCCUUACGGGCUACGUGGGUUCGAAUCCCACCUCCUCCG
rnacentral:tRNA from 1 species